UUAAAAUGGAAAUAAUUUUGCUUUAAAACCGGUGUCAGCGCCAGCGAAAAAUGUUAUCAUUUUUAACCGGUUUGCGUUUGGCAACAUUUGCUGCCCAUCAGUUGAUCCCAUGUUUUGGGCUUGUAGACUUUUAAUUGCAUCUGGUCAAUGGAAGAACUGGUCAAAUUUAACUUUGAUAUGCUAGCGCAAUAUUCAAAUGGCUUACAAGAUCUUAACUCUUAAGAAAUAAAUACCACUAACUAUCUAUCACGGAUUAAAAUGAACCUAUUGUAGAAUCCAUAUGUGUUCAAAAUAGUUAUUCAAGUGCAGUGGCUUAUUAAGAAAUGUUGUUUGGGAAUAAGUGCAACACGUGCAACACUGAUGCAGAACGCGCUGCAAUUUUGCUCCAGUGGCAAGCACCCAAAACCAUGGAGUAAAAUGGAGAUAUUAUGCUGGUCAACUGCAUCUCUGUAGCUGCCGAGGUCAUUAACCCCUUAUUGGCAGAGUAUGCACCUGUAACAGAAAAAUCUGCCUGCAACAAAUGCGUGAAGGCGCACAUCAAUAAAAUGGCCACAGUAACCAUCGAUGCUAAAAACAUCAGCAGGCUAGAUGAAUGAACAUUUGAAUUGCAAAGAAGAGGAAUGUAAUAAAUGCAAUUAAAUUAUCA